rnacentral:rRNA from 1 species
GAUGAACGCUGGCGGCGUGCCUAAUACAUGCAAGUCGAGCGAACAGACGAGGAGCUUGCUCCUCUGACGUUAGCGGCGGACGGGUGAGUAACACGUGGAUAACCUACUUAUAAGACUGGGAUAAAUUCGGGAAACCGGAGCUAAUACCGGAUAAUAAAUUGAACCGCAUGGUUCAAUAGUUAAAGACGGUUUUGCUGUCCCUUAUUGAUGGAUCCGCGCCGCAUUAGCUAGUUGGUAAGGUAACGGCUUACCAAGGCAACGAUGCGUAGCCGACCUGAGAGGUUGAUCCGCCACACUGGAACUGAGACACGUGCCAGACUCCUACGGGAUGCAGCAGUAGUGAAUCAUCCGCAAUGCGCGAAAGCCUCACGGAGCAACGCAGCGUGAGUGAUGAAGGUCUUCGAUUCGUAAAACUCUUUUAUUAGGGAAGAGCAAAUGUGUAAGAAACUAUGCACGUCUUGACAGUACCUAACCGGAACGGCACGACUAACUGCGUG